rnacentral:sRNA from 1 species
GAUCACGUAGAAAUUCGGCGUGACGAUGAAUUGCGGUCCAUGGGUCCCCGCCGGGACGAGCAUCAUGCCUGCGGCGGCACGUUCUGCUGCCGGGAAGGCCU